rnacentral:tRNA from 1 species
GAGGGUAUAGCUCAGUGGUAGAGCACAUGGAGCAUGUGCUUAGCAUGCACGAGGCCCUGUGUUCAAUCCCCAGUACCUCCA